rnacentral:rRNA from 1 species
UACGUAGGGGGCAAGCGUUGUCCGGAUUUAUUGGGCGUAAAGAGCGUGUAGGCGGCCAGGUAGGUCCGCUGUGAAAACUCGAGGCUCAACCUCGAGCUGUCGGCGGAAACCAUCUGGCUAGAGUCCGGAAGAGGAGAGUGGAAUUCCCGGUGUAGCCGGUGAAAUGCGCAGAUAUCGGGAAGAACACCCGUGGCGAAGGCGGCUCUCUGGGACGGUACUGACGCUGAGACGCGAAAGCGUGGGGAGCGAACAGG